rnacentral:tRNA from 1 species
GGCCUUGUAGUUGAUAUAACAACAUUAAAUUGCAGCUUUAAAGGAGUGCUCUCACCAAGGCUU